GCAGUAUACAGCUGAGCUGUUAGAAUGAGGGCCGUCUGUCUCCUGUGCCUGGUGCUGACCACAGCAGCGGUUCAGGGGUAUCCCGUCUGGAAGCGAGAUGAAGGCGAGGCUAGUCCGGAGUCAUCUGAUGAGGAUUCGGACGAAUCUGAGGAAGAAGAGGAGCGCAAACGUCUUGCGCGGUCUAUCCUGCUCGACUUCCAAUUAGUUGAGCAGCUUAGUCAGACUCGUGUUAGCGGUCAACAAGGCGUAGAUGUACUGUAUGAGGAACUGUAUCAACUACUUGUGAAUAAUGAGGUGCAAAUAACUGGACUGAACGACGACUAAAGGGGACGGCUGUCUGAAGAACAACGAUCUCAUCACGGAGAUGCGAAUCAACCGUGUUCCAUCGGGGGAGUCUGACGGGGUGAGACGCUGACACAAUACCACAGAACACAAGACUCGCCUGGUUCAAAACUACAUGUAGAGCAGAGUACAAGCUUCCGUGCUUUCCUUUUUAUCAGCGUUUCUUUCAACUUGUGAUAGCUGCUAAUGUUGUCUGAACCUAAAACGUUAAAAUCUAGUAAGGAGAUUCAUUAACGUUGCUUAUUUACAUCAUGGAGUUUAAAAAUCCUUGUCCACACGCAGAAGAUAAGUAAUUCGAAAAGUAUGGCUGGCCACCUGUUGCAAGCUCCUGUUGUAAACGGCCGUGCUGAAGUGCCGACUAGUGAGCGUUGAUGGUACCGCAGUUUAUCAAUCCGUCGCUCAGACCGAUUUUUCACGGUGCAAAAUUAGCGCCACCCGACGGUCGUAAACAGCAAUGCAACAUGUUAAAUUCCAGUGUAGAGAGACGAAAUGGUGCUGCAGGAUCGAUGAAUCAAUCUAUAUUGACUGAGGGAUACAUAUUCCAAUAUUGCGUUUUUGUAUAUUCCGCCGGGCGGCGCUAAAUUUGCACCGUACCAUUGUUGACUACAACGCUUACUAGGCGGCGCUUUUGUACCGUGCAGGAACCAUUAUACUGUAGUUGGCAGGCCUCCUGUUGGGUGUGUGAAUCGGAGGAACAGAACAUUAUCGGAACGUCGGAAUCAUUAGCCUGCUGUUUAAUCACAUAUUGACAAAAUUCUUGAGCUAGUUGAAUACCAAGUUUCUAGCACGGAAGGGCGAGGGUCACUUGUCUAAUUACGCCCUUUAGGACCCUUUAGCCCUGAUACCAGGCUCUUGUAAUCUUAUCACUGCAUGUAACGUGUUCAUUGCACCUAGUAUGAUAUGUACCU